rnacentral:rRNA from 1 species
AUACGGAGGGCGCGAACGUUGCUCGGAAUCAUUGGGCGUAAAGCGCACGUAGGCGGCCUGAUAAGUCGGAUGUGAAAGCCCACGGCUCAACCGUGGAAGUGCAUUCGAAACUGUCAGGCUUGAGUAUGGGAGAGGGUUGCGGAAUUCCCGGUGUAGAGGUGAAAUUCGUAGAUAUCGGGAGGAACACCAGCGGCGAAGGCGGCAGCCUGGACCAAUACUGACGCUGAGGUGCGAAAGCGUGGGGAGCAAACAGGAUUAGAUACCCUAGUAGUCC